rnacentral:rRNA from 1 species
UACGUAGGGGGCUAGCGUUGUCCGGAAUCAUUGGGCGUAAAGAGCGUGUAGGCGGCCCGGUAAGUCCGCUGUAAAAGUCAAAGGCUCAACCUUUGAAUGUCAGUGGAUACUGCCGGGCUAGAGUCCGGAAGAGGCGAGUGGAACUCCUGGUGUAGCGGUGGAAUGCGCAGAUAUCAGGAGGAACACCAAUAGCGAAGGCAGCUCGCUGGGACGUUACUGACGCUGAGGCGCGAAAGCGUGGGGAGCGAACAGG